GGUGCUUGCACCUGGUGGCGAGUGGCGAACGGGUGAGUAAUACAUCGGAACAUGUCCUGUAGUGGGGGAUAGCCCGGCGAAAGCCGGAUUAAUACCGCAUACGAUCUACGGAUGAAAGCGGGGGACCUUCGGGCCUCGCGCUAUAGGGUUGGCCGAUGGCUGAUUAGCUAGUUGGUGGGGUAAAGGCCUACCAAGGCGACGAUCAGUAGCUGGUCUGAGAGGACGACCAGCCACACUGGGACUGAGACACGGCCCAGACUCCUACGGGAGGCAGCAGUGGGGAAUUUUGGACAAUGGGCGAAAGCCUGAUCCAGCAAUGCCGCGUGUGUGAAGAAGGCCUUCGGGUUGUAAAGCACUUUUGUCCGGAAAGAAAUCCUUGGUUCUAAUAUAGCCGGGGGAUGACGGUACCGGAAGAAUAAGCACCGGCUAACUACGUGCCAGCAGCCGCGGUAAUACGUAGGGUGCGAGCGUUAAUCGGAAUUACUGGGCGUAAAGCGUGCGCAGGCGGUUUGCUAAGACCGAUGUGAAAUCCCCGGGCUCAACCUGGGAACUGCAUUGGUGACUGGCAGGCUAGAGUAUGGCAGAGGGGGGUAGAAUUCCACGUGUAGCAGUGAAAUGCGUAGAGAUGUGGAGGAAUACCGAUGGCGAAGGCAGACCCCUGGGCCAAUACUGACGCUCAUGC
rnacentral:rRNA from 1 species